rnacentral:lncRNA from 1 species
UGAAUCCAGCUCUCCAGAGGUGAAAGGCUAUUGGGGUAAUGAUUAAAAAAAAAAAUCUGUAGUAUUCUACUGUUAUAUUAAUAAACUGGUGGGAGUCUUGUUUCACUGCCCAUAAACCAUACCAGCAACAUAACAUACACAUGGCAGAGAGGAGCUGAGAGAGCAAAUGGGUGGGCCUGAUGCCCCUUAGGGUCCCUUGAUGGAUCUGGCCAACCACCUUCUAAAAAUGUAGUUGAGAGCAGGACUAGAAAGAAUGGUUAAGGGUUAGCCAGCCGGAAUGGCCUUGUCCUGGUGUUCUUAUGAAUGAUAGGGGUGUUUGUAAUGGGAUUGGUUUUUCUUUCUUUCUUUUUUUUUUCCUUUCUUUUUUCUUUGGAAAACAAAAGCCAGAAUGAUUAUAGCAAAAGACAGAAUAAAUCUGGAGAAAUAAAUUCCCCUCAAACAGAUUUUAUCUAUUUGGUCUUUUAAGUCUAGUUUGGGAGGAUAGAGGUGGAGGGUGUUACUCUGGUAGAGGUAUAAUGAAAGCAAUUCUACGUGCCAAGAGUCCAUGAUACCCAGUAAAAAGAAUAAAGUUGGCACUGAUUUUAGUGAGCAUUGGACAAAAUAAAAUGAAGACAUAACAGUAAUCUUAAUCAGAAAAGGGGUAGAUGUAUAGAAGCAUUCGAUGUUUAGAUUUUGCUCCUGUUUAAGAAUACCACACUCUCUUGCCCCUUUUUAUCUCUGUACAUAUAGUCUGGGCUUUGCAGGAAAUGGCAUGAAAUCAGCUAUUCUGAUUGUGCAGAAGAAUCUUUCCAGCAUUACUUUUGCUACCCCUCCCAUCUUUCCUACUUGGAGGCUUCAGAGUUAGUGAUGAACCUCAACAGCCAAUGCUGGGUUUUCAUUUUAUUAUCUUCUGUUAGUUUAAUUUGCAGAUCACUGAUUCUGAAUGCUGUGCGUUAUAUUUUCUUGCUCUUUUCUGUCUUUUAGCAGGUUUGGAUGCAUCUGCUCAAACUACUUCUCAUGAACUCACCAUUCCAAAUGAUAGUGGAAGGAUCUACUGAUCGGCAGGUUACCAUCACUGGAUCUGCUGCCAGCAUUAGUCUGGCUCAGUAUCUAAUCAAUGUCAGGCUUUCCUCGGAGACAGGUGGCAUGGGGAGCAGCUAGAACAGAGCAGAUUCAUCCAUAAUCCCUUUCUGCUGUUCACCACCACCCAUGAUCCAUCUGUGUAGUUUCUGAACAGUCAGCGAUUCCAGGUUUUAAAUAGUUUGUAAAUUUUCAGUUUCUACACACUUUAUCAUCCACUCAUGAUUUUUUAAUUAAAGUGUUUUAAUUCUUUUCUCUGUUCAGCAGUUACGCUGAGAUAUCCAUAUUUAGUUUUAUAAGCUUCUCCCCCUUUUUUGUUUUGUUUUGUUUUU